rnacentral:rRNA from 1 species
GACGAACGCUGGCGGCGUGCCUAAUACAUGCAAGUAGAACGCUGAAGGAGGAGCUUGCUUCUCUGGAUGAGUUGCGAACGGGUGAGUAACGCGUAGGUAACCUGCCUGGUAGCGGGGGAUAACUAUUGGAAACGAUAGCUAAUACCGCAUAAGAGUAGAUGUCGCAUGACAUUUGCUUAAAAGGUGCAAUUGCAUCACUACCAGAUGGACCUGCGUUGUAUUAGCUAGUUGGUGAGGUAACGGCUCACCAAGGCAACGAUACAUAGCCGACCUGAGAGGGGGGACGGCCACAAUGGGACAGAGGCACGGCCCAGACUCCUACGGGAAGCAGCAGUAAGGGAUCUUCGGCAAAUGACGGAAGUCUGAACGAACAAAGGCACGUGAAUGAAGAAGGUUUUCGGGACGUAAAAAUCUGUUGUAAGAGAAAAACCAGAGGGGGAAUGAAAAAUGCACACUGUGACGGUAUCUAACCAGAAAGGGACGGCUAACUACGUG